rnacentral:sRNA from 1 species
GACGUUCGCAAUGACUGGGAAACAACUAUAGAAAACUUUCAUGUCGUGGAAACAUUAGCUGAUAAUGCAAUCAUCAUUUAUCAAACACACAAGAGGGUGUGGCCUGCUUCUCAGCGAGACGUACUAUAUCUUUCUGUCAUUCGAAAGAUACCAGCCUUGACUGAAAAUGACCCUGAAACUUGGAUAGUUUGUAAUUUUUCUGUGGAUCAUGACAGUGCUCCUCUAAACAACCGAUGUGUCCGUGCCAAAAUAAAUGUUGCUAUGAUUUGUCAAACCUUGUGACUGAAGCAAGGCUGUGUGACAUUCCAUGUUGGAGAAAAAAAGAAAAAAAAAGCUGAAUGCUCUAAGCUGGAACGUAGGAUCUAUAGCCUUGUCUGUGGCCCAAGACCUUGGCCUUGUGUACAAAAAUGACAAAAUAUUGCAAUAGCAAAGCUGAACAUCUAACACUAGCUAUCUCUUGCUAGAUCUCCUUGCUCAGCAUAUAACUAUAAAUACAUGUAAAAUUAC